UCCAAUGAAUCAACUCUUUAGGGAAAUUCUGAAAGCAAACAAAAAACUAAAAAAAAAAACCAACAACAAAAAACCCAGAACUUUGAGAUAUAUUUAAUAUUUUUCUGGAAUUACUGUUUCUUCUUUGAGCAUUUGAACUAACUCAUACUUUAUGAUAAGGUGACUAGUAUGGGAAGCAUCUACAAGAAGGUUUGGUGUUAAGGCAAGUUAACCUCAGAUUUAAAAUCGUCCCUGGGAACUCUGGGAGUGAUAGUUAGUGUACUGCAGUUAAUGCAACACAGCUGGAUGUGGUUGCAUUGCUCCUUGGAUUUUAUUAUUUUUUAUCCAAGUGUAGUUGAUUUGCAGUAGUCUGUUAGUUUCAGGUGUACAGCAUAAUGAUUCAGUAUUUUGUAGAUUAUGUUCCAUUAUAGGUUAUUUCAAUAUAAUGGGCAUAAUUUCCUAUGCUAUACAGUGUAUCCAUGUGGCUUAUCUAUUUUAUGUAUAAUAGUCUGCAUGUGUUAAUUUCAUACCUCUAAUUUGUCCCUCCCCACUUCUUCUCCUCUUUAGUAACUACAAGUUGUUUUUUUUCUACAUCUGUAAAUCUGCUUCUGUUUUGCAUAUACAUUCAUUUUUAUUAUUUUUUAGAUUCUGCAUAUAUGUGAUAUCAUACAGUAUUUGUCUUUUCUCUGUCUGACUUCUGUCAUGAGGCAUAAUAUUCUCCAGGUCCAUCCACAUUGCUGCAAAUGGCAGUAUUUCAUUCUUUUCUAAGGCUACUAUUCCAUUGUAUAUGUAUUACCACAUCUUAAUCCGGUAAUCUGUUGAUGAGCACUUGUUUGUUUCCAUAUCUUGUUACUUGUAAAUCAUGCUGCUGUGAACAUUGGGGUGCAUAUAUCUUUUCAAUUUAGUGUUUGUUUUUACUGAAUAAAUGCACAGGAGCGGGAUUGCUGGAUCAUAUGGUAAUACUGUUUUUAGUUUUUUAAGGAGCCUCCAUACUGUUUUCCCAUAGUGGCGGCACCAAAUUAUAUUCUCACCAACAGUUUAUAAGGCUUCCAUAACCUGGAUUUUAAUUGGAACUUGGCUUCCAACUGGCUUUGUUGCCCUGGCUUUAUUUUUCACCUCUUCGCACCUUGGUUGUUGAGAUCAUUGAGAACAGGUGCCGGAGAGAGGAAAGCUCGUGAAAAGUAGCUUGUAGUUAAGAGGAAUCUUGGGAUUUGGCUACUGAAGGUAGAAAAAUCACUUUAUGAGAGUGCUGAGAGCGAUGUGAAAACAGAAAUGGUAACAAGAGGCAGUGGCCAGGCUGCCGGGAAACAAAAAAAGCCAGUGAACAUUUAAGUUACCGCUUGUGCUUCACUCAUGAAGAAAAAACGUCUCGGACAGUGAUUAGAAAAGUGCUAAUGCUGGUGGGUGAUCUGCGGAGGCUGUGCCUGGGCGAGUUCGGGGCGAUUCUCUGACUGAGAAGUCAAAAGUCACGAAGGACAGGAGUGACUGGAGAAUUGUCAUAUUUUGGAGGAAACUGAUAAAGCUGAGCGCCGAAGAAUUGAUGCUUUUGAACUGUGGUGUUGGAGAAGACUCUUGAGAGUUCCUUGGACUGCAAGGAGAUCCAAUCAGUCCAUCCUGAAGGAGAUCAGUC